UAAAUACCUCCAGGAAUGGCAACUCCACCCCUUCCUUGGGUAGCCUGUUCCAGUACUUAACAACCAUUUUGGUGAAGAUAUGUUUCCUAAUAUCCAGCCUAAAACUCCUCUGACAUAACUUGGCCUAUCACUUCUUACUUGGGAGAAGAGAACAUUCCUUGUUAAGUGGACCUGCAGACUUCCUGRAGGCCUCCUUCUUCAAGUAAAUUGGCUGAGUAUGAUGUUCAUACAUGAUUGUGGACAUAGGAUGUAGAUUUAAUUAGCAUAGCCAGUUUGAUAACCUUGGCAAGAACAAACAGAGCUUUGAAGACUACAAGGAGAUUGGCGACAGGAAAAGAUUGAAUCAAACUUCUGCAAGMAAGAGAUGUUGUAAAUGUGUAAGUUUUGCUGUGUGAUGUUUAACAUAAAUCAUUGUAGUAAAAAAUUACUAGCCUUCCUAGAACAGUAUAUAAGCAUUUGGAAAUCACGGUAAAAAUGAAUUUUGAUGGCAAAUGAGCUUUCCUGUGUCUCUAUCAAUCRUCGAUGAUCAGUGCCCUGUGUGAGGAGAAGGACCAGCUAGCUGAUGGCAGUCACAAUGCCUCUGGAACUGAUUGUGAUGGUGACAGGACUGUAUUUGGGCCCACAAUCGCCURUACGCUGCAACGUGACAGGUGCCUUGGCAAGAACAGACAGAGCUUUGAAGAUUACAAGAAGAUUGGAUCAAGAUUGAGGACAGGAAAAGAAGAUUGGUUCAAACUUCUGCAAGCAAGAGAUGUUGUAAAUGUCUGGACAGUAGAAUGCCAUAAAAGGAGCCGAGAGAGAUGUAGUCAACUGAUUGCAGAGGUAAUUGGAAC
rnacentral:lncRNA from 1 species